rnacentral:rRNA from 1 species
GUAAUACCGGAUGAUAUCAGUGAUUGCAGGAUUGCUGAUCAAAGAUUUAUCGGCGCGAGAGCGGCCUAUCUCCUAUCAGCUAGUUGGUGAGGUAAUGGCUNNNNNNNNNNNNNNUUGAUCGACCACAUUGGGUCUGAAAAAACCCCAAUGCAAGUUAGUACAGCAGUGAGGAAUCUUGGUCAAUGGCCUAACGGCUGAACUGGCAACUUGGAGAAGUGAUAAGUCUUAUAAUUAUAAUAUUAUAAUUUAUAUUUAUAACACUCUAUUAGAAUUUAAUGAAGCUUUGUUUAUAUAUUGAUAAUGACAGUAUAUAUAUCGUGUCUUGACUAAUUGCGUGCCAGCAGUCGCGGUAAUACNNCCAGACUCCUACGGGAGGCAGCAGUGGGGAAUAUUGGGCAAUGGGCGAAAGCCUGACCCAGCGACGCCGCGUAUAGGAUGAAGUCCUUCGGGAUGUAAACUAUUGUCAGGGGCUCGAAAGCCGUAAGGUUGAUCAGCCCCAGAGGAAGUCACGACUAACUUCGUGCCAGCAGUCGCGGUAAUACGUAAGAGACUAGUGUUAUUCAUCUUAAUUAGGUUUAAAGGGUACCCAAACGGUCAAAAUAGCUUUUUAUAUCGUUAGUAUUUGACUAGAGUUUUAUGUAAGAGGGCAGUACUUGAGGAGGAGAGAUGAAAUUUAGUGAUACCAAAGGGACUCUGUAAAGGCGAAGGCAGCCCUCUAUGUAGAAACUGACGUUGAAGGACGAAGGCACAGAGAACAAACAGGAUUAGAUACCCUAGUAGUCUUUGCAGUAAAUGAUGAAUGCCAUAGGUCAGAAUAAUUUGGUCUGGUCUAUAAAUGAAAGUGUAAGCAUUUCACCUCAAGAGUAAUGUGGCAACGCAGGAACUGAAAUCACUAGACCGUUUCUGACAUCAGUAGUGAAGUAUGUUGUUUAAUUCGAUGAUCCACGAAAAACCUUACCACAAUUUGAAUAAUUAUAUUACAGGAGUUGCACGGCUGUUUCCAGUUAAUGUUGUGAAACUGUGGUUUACAUGAAAUUAACGUAAUCCCUGGCUUUAUUUUUUUAAUUUACUAUAAAGCAUUUAUCCAUUAUUUGGAGAAAAAGGGGACAAAGACAAGUCAUCAUGGCCUUGAUAUUGUGGGCUAUAGACGUGCCACAUAUUCCUAGACAAAGAGAUGCAAAAAUGUGAAUUUAAGCUAAUCUCAAAAAAUAGGAUAUAAAUUUUAAGGAUUGUAGUCUGAAAUUCGACUAUAUGAAUAAGUAAUUACUAGUAAUCGUGAAUCACCAUGUCACGGUGAAUAUACCUUGGAUUGGUACUAACCACUCGUCACAUGCUGAAAGGAGCAUGCGCAAUAAGUUUGCUUUCUUAAUAAUAAGUAAAAAAAAUAAAUAGAUUUUAUAUAUUCUUUUAUUAGGGAUCUUCGUAUGCGUGGCUCUAAUUAGUGUUAAGUCGAAAUACGGUUCGUGUAGUGGAAGUUGCACGGG